GUCGAGGAUCUUCGGCAAUGGGCGCAAGCCUGACCGAGCGACGCCGCGUGUGCGAUGAAGGCCUUCGGGUUGUAAAGCACUGUCGAGGGGGAGGAAGCCGCAAGGUUGACCUAUCCCUGGAGGAAGCACGGGCUAAGUUCGUGCCAGCAGCCGCGGUAAGACGAACCGUGCGAACGUUGUUCGGAAUCACUGGGCUUAAAGGGCGCGUAGGCGGUUCAUCAAGUCUGGGGUGAAAUCUUUCGGCUUAACCGGAAAAGUGCCUGGGAUACUGAUGAACUGGAGGGAGAUAGGGGCAGCUGGAACUUCCGGUGGAGCGGUGAAAUGCGUUGAUAUCGGAAGGAACUCCGGUGGCGAAAGCGAGCUGCUGGAUCUCUACUGACGCUGAGGCGCGAAAGCCAGGGGAGCAAACGGGAUUAGAUACCCUUGUAGUCC
rnacentral:rRNA from 1 species